rnacentral:lncRNA from 1 species
UUUUUUUUUUGUUUGUUUGUUUUUUUUUGAGUGAUGUUCAGAUCUUUUCUCUUUGUGGACAAACUGACAGGAGCCUCAAAUUGGAAGGAAUACUCAAGGGUUUGGGACUUUGAAAGAAAAAGAGACAUUCAAAUUAUUUAUGACUUUUCUAAACCUCACUUUUCUCAUUUGUAAUGUGAACAUGAAUAAUAGUACUGACCUAAUAGGGUUACUGUGAGGAGUAGAUUAGAUAAAGAAGGUUAAGCACUCAGCCCAGUGUCUAGCAUAUAGUAAAGUACUCAAUAAAUGUUAGCUGUUGCUGAUACUACAUUUUUAUUAGCUAUGAGCUAUAACGUCAUUGUGAAAUUAAGAAGAAGGGAUAUCCUUAGAGACUUUGAAGAGUUAAGCCCUUGGAGGUUUUGGAAAAUAAUGAGUUUAUAAUAGCUAAUAUUCUAAAUCCUACUGAUGUCCAGGGAGGCUUGAGGAGAAACUGAUUCAGAACAUUUGGAACCAUUAAAGUUUGGGAUUUUAUCAUUUGAUUGUUGGUUGGUUUUGGAAGGGUUUGUUGAACUCCUUUUGGCACAGAACUUUUCUCACAUUGAAGAACCAUGGCUCUUUGCUAUUUCCCGUUAAAGUCAGUUUCUUUGGUGUAUGCUCAGGCCUUCUGAAUUAUUUUUCUAAGAUUGAAAUGGAUAUAAUGUGACUGUUUUUAGUUUAGAAAGAUUUUUUCCCCCCUCUGUUAAUCCUGAAGAGUACAGAUGUUAGCCUUUUGAGAUGAUUAGAACUACGGGUAGUCUAAACAGUCAAGAAAAGAAUAAGGAUUGAGAUACUUCUUUUUGUGAAUUUGUCACUAGCUGCAGGAAAUAAAAAGGCAGUUCUUAGAUUUUUAGAAGGUGAUCAGUUUUAAACCUGAAGUAUUGUUGCCUGGAAGAAUUUGACUGUGUGCCUGAAAAAUAUACUACUUGAGUAUUUUUGAAUUUGAGUCCACUGGGUUCCAGCCUUAGUGACAAAUACUAGCUUGGUUUAGAUGAGCCAGACCUGGUCAUUAAAUCCUUGCUUGGCCUUUAAAAAAAAAAAAAAAAAAAAAGAGGCAUUCCCAUCUCAGAUUGUUUCCGCUGCUCCACUGGGAACUCCUGUUUGUUUGUUUUUUGUGGGUUCUUUUUGGCUGUGGCAUGCAGUGGCUUGAUGUGGGAUCUCAGUUCCUGGGCUAGGGAUUGAACCUAGGCUGCAGCAGUGAAAGCUCUGAAUCCUAACCACUAGACCACCAGAGAACUCCCGGUAAUAGGUUCUCUUUAUUGUAAAAAAGCCCACUCAGCUCAGAGUUGCUAUUUCCUAGUUGAUAUGUUUCUUUAGAAGUACUUAACUGCACUGACUCAAACCUUAGUGAAAGGUACAGAGUACUGUAGGGAAGAGGUAUAUGUAUUCAUCAUAUACCAACCUAAGUAGCAUGAGGUUAGAAAAAUUAACAUUCAGGAUGAAGAAUCUCUUGUGCUGAAGCUUCUCAACUGGAGGCAUAUGUCACAAUCCCUUCUGGAACUUUUGCAAAGUAAAAGCAUCCUACCAAAGUGAAAUAUUUUGGGCUGGGAACCCCAAACAUAUACUUAUUUUUUAAAACUUCAACAAGUUCUUUUAAUGUACCUCUUAGUUAAAAACCACUGUCGUUGGAGUUCCCGUCGUGGUGCAGUGAUUAACGAAUCCGACUAGGAACAUGAGGUUGCGGGUUUGAUCCCUGCCCUUGCUCAGUGGGUUAACGAUCCGGUGUUGCCGUGAGCUGUGGUGUAGGUUGCAGACGUGGCUCAGAUCCCGAGUUGCUGUGGCUCUGGCGUAGGCUGGCAGCUACAGCUCCGAUUAGACCCCUAGCCUGGGAACCUCCAUAUGCUGCGGGAACAGCCCAGAAAUGACAAAAAACAAAACAAAACAAAACAAACUCCCUCUGCCGUUGUGGAAAGGACUUUGGUUUUACUAUACAUCCUUUGGAAAUCCUUGUUACUCAUUUAGCCAGGGAAGCUUUAAAAGCUGUCCUUGUUUUUUGCCGUUUCCAGAUAGAGCAAUGCACUGCACUUUAGAGAUCGUAGGAUCCUCAGGUGUCUUAUAGCAUGCUCAAGAGUCUCCUCCAACUCUCCUUUUUCAUUGCUCAGUCAUUGCAUUGUGUUAGGGAUCAGUCAUUUAGGAAUAUAGCUAUAAUGAAUCUGACUUCUCAUUAUCUGCUUAAUUAGGAGAACUAAUUAAUAAAAUUUUGAUAGUUAUAGCUGUUAAAGUAGAACAUCCAUAUCAGUGUUACUGAUUCAUUUUUAAAUUAUUGCCCCAGAUUUUUUAAGGCAAAUGUGAGCAGAAUUCCUAUAACAUGAUAUAUUUUGCCAAAUAUAGGCAACUGGUGAUAUUUUUUAUACUUAAAUUGGAAGAGAGGAAUUGUGGCUCAGCGGUAAUGAACCCAACUAAUAUCCAUGAGGAUUCGGAUUUGAUCCCUGGCCUUGAUCAAAGGGUUAAGGAUCUGGUGUUGCUGCGAGCUGUGACGUAGGUCACAGACGUGGCUUGGGUCUGGUGUUGGGUGUGGCCUAGGCCAGCAGCUGCAGCUCCAAUUCGACCUCUAGCCUGGAAACUUCCAUGUGCCAUGGGUGUGGCCCUUAAAAAAAAAGAAAAAAAAAA